AUGAAGCAACACUUCGGUUUAUUUCCGUCGCGAGCCCGCUCCCAGGUGGUUUUUGAUUGAUCACUUUCAGAAGUGUCUACAUUUUGGAUCUAAAAGCUCAGGAUCCAUCACAGGAAGUGGGGUGUGUCCCUACGAACAGCCGGCCAAGUCCAUUGCCCGUCUCUUCCUAUAACCCUUUCACUCUUUCCAACCCAUCACCAUCACUCUUUCUCACUCUCUUUCCUCCCAGCCCGUUUCACGGCGUGACACACCUUAAUUAGCGGACCGGUAACAAACGCGCGAAGGGAUUUUAUACCAAUUAAUUCUCAAGACGAGUCGCUGUAGAUGCAAAACGCCAAGGAUAGGUGGACUUGCCAGAAAUGGAAAAACGGAUUGCCCGGGCACAAAAGGUGCUUCGAGCAACCCUGGAUUGGAUUAAGUCGCGUGUGAUAGUGAUCUUUCGUUAAGAAUUGAGUCGCGAGUGAUUUAUAAGUGUUGUGUCAUGAUGGAUAUACUCCUAGGUCAUCAGCCUAUUUUGAUUAAAUCUUCGAUUUAUCAAAUGUAUUCUCCCUUGAAGACCACUGGAUUACCUGUCUGGAUUAUCGAUCUGUUCUGACAAGUGUUGUCUCUCCGACUCGUCCCUAAAAGGAACAAAAGAUUAAACGAAAUAAGCGAACCUUGACUUGGCGAACCUUGGUUGACCUGUGAUGCCCAACAUGUUCAAAUAUGCAAUAACUUCCAAAAAAA